ACCUCUCCUUUGAGAUGUGGUGCAAAUCCCUCGCCCUGUGUGAGGCAGGAGACUCAGUGUUUGUGAGAGACUUGGGGAGCUGAGGAGACAGGACACGGCCAGUUCUCCUGGUCGCUUCUGGUCCUGGAGUCCCACCUCUGCCGAUUAGCUCCAUUUCUGGUUUGCUCACGUCUGCUGUCAUCUCUUUCCCAUAGCGUGGACCCCACAUAGCUCACGGUCCAAGUCCUUCUACUCCGCAUUCCAAGGCUGUGGGUGCAGCAUUCAUCUACUGGCGCUUUGGGGGCAGUGAAAUUGCUUAAUUCAUCAAGAGAAGUUUAAAGUAAAGCAUUGGGGCAGACAUUUGGUGUGAUAGCUAAUAUGUCACUUAGGAUUCCUGCAUCUCAUAUGGAGUCCUGGCUCUUGUUCCUGUUCCAGCUUUUUACUAAUGCACACCCUGGGAGGCAGAAAAUGAUGGCUCAAGUAUUUGGAUUGCUGCCACUCACAAAGGAGAUCUGGAUGGAGUUCUCUGGGCUCCUGGCUUGGGCCUCGUCCAGCCUCAGAUUUUGUGGAUGUAUACGGAUUCAGCCAGCAGCAAACGGAUGCGCUCUCUCUCUCUGUCUCUCUAUCUUUCCAAUACAGAAAUAUAAAUUUUCCAAAGUCAUCAUAUCAUUAAAUCUGAAUAGAGAACAUUGCAGCUUUCAAAAAUCUUUGGUCUUUGAGAACUUCUCACUAUUGACUUUUUUUCUGCAGGCUGCCUGGAGUGUUAUACAGAUGCUUUUUAAUUUAUGAUGGCAUUCCUGAAAAUAUCACAAGUAAAAAAUGCAUUUUGUAAACCUAAGCUAUUGAGCAUAAGAACUUAGCAACACAGCACACUGCAGAGUCACGGUCAUUUCCCCGUGGGAUCCCGUGGCCAAAUGGGAUUGCGUGCUCAUGGCUGCUGCCCAGCAUCAGGACAAAGCACUGCACCACAAUGCACUUGCGUGGGAAAAGAUCCGACUGUAGGAUUCGCAAGCAAGGAAGACAGAAAAGGACAAGAAACCAUUAACACGGAUCGAAGAAAUGAGACAACCACAUCAGAGCGUGUGAGAACAUCAGGGUCCAGUGUGACCGAAGACCACUCCCAAAGGUCAGAGAGCCCCGGAGAGCAGGAGAGGAAGGGGAUGUUAUUCAACAUUACACGGGCUAAAUAACCCCCUGUCCCAUACUUCUUGAUCUCUGAUCUGUUUUAACAUAACAGUUGGGACACAAAAUUGGCUGGGAAGAGAGGAAAGUUCCGAGGCAGAUGGAGUGACCAUCUGGGCAGGUGGCCAGGGUUCAGUAGCUGCGCUCAUCUCCAAACAGUGUGUGGGACAUUUAGUCACGGAGACUGUGAACAUUGUACCAUCAGAUAGGAUGUGUUCCCACCUCACAUGGUGUCUUCCAUAUGUCUCAAAAUAUUGACAGCCUUAAGAAAUGAUAGAAAGAGCAAAUAGAAGGUGAAGAAGAGAGAGAUUACGCAGGACAAACAAGAGCGAUGGAGGCCAGCUGUUCCCCAUUCUUCCCCAGGACAGAGUUCCCUCCCGUGAACUGUCUCAGCACAUCAGCGCCACCUUGGAUUGUGACUGUUUGUGUAGAAGGCUUAUUUUCCAUACUGAACUGUGAGUGUCUGAGGCUCAGGGCAGCCUCGUUCCUCUUUAGAUCCCUCCAAGAUGGGCCUUGAACUUAAUGGAAGCGCAGAGCCCGAGUAUGGAAGCGCAGAGCCCGAGUACGGAAAGCAUAGGAGUGCUGGAAACAACAGUGGUGGAGAUAUAAAUCACAUAGAUUUAAGGACCAUUGUCUUGAGUGUUGUCAAAUCAGAGAAUAAUUUACUGAAGGUUAUAUCUUCUCUCUCUGUCUCUCUAGAGGUCUAAAAAAAAAAAAGAAAAGAAAAACAUUCUCAUCAAGUUGAAAUUAUUUAAAUAUGGUCUUGUGUGUGGCCGGAGGAAGUCAGCACCUCUCAGGAUUCCGUCCAGGGUUCUGUGCUCUUGGUCUGUGAUGAGAAACACCAGCUUCAACUUUUCUCUCCUUCAUUCUCGCUCUUCCUCUCUGUCAGCCAUGUUGGAAUCCACCUGAGAGCGAGCACUAAAUGGUAGGAUUUCUGCAUCUUGUCUCCUCUGAGAGUCUCCUGGUACCUAAAGGAGAGAUGUGGGCUUGGGCUGAUCCACCGCAGCAAGGCCCACCCCACUCUGAGGCUGUGACAGGCCUGUGACAGGACCAUGCACUUAGGAGGGAAUCAGAUGGUGAGGCUGCCUCCUUCAUCGGGCCUUGGAAAGUGGAGGCCAUCAGUAAUGUGCGUGUUUGUUGGACACACGAUUUUCUGCAAAUCUAACUUCAGCACGAGCGUCUUUAAAAGGCAUCCAUUCUUUCUCGAUGGUCAUUGGGUGUAGCCUUGCCUGCCAGCAAUCCCAUGCAGAGGGCAAGGGCGCUCCCCUCUCUCCCACUCCAAACCUACGGUACUCAGUGAAACCAGAGACGUUUUUGACAAGGGAACCGCAUUCUUCCAUUAAACAGUAAAAUCGUGUUUCUCUAUUUGAAAGGGACUUCGCUUCUUCAGUCUAAUUUUCAAACAGUGUUGGACUAAGAUGGUCAGGACCCUUGAAACUGCAUCUGAGUUGUUGAUUUCUCAUUUCAUCCGGGCUCUAGGGAUUUCCUUUUGAAAAAAAAAAAAAAAAAAAAGAGAUGGUAAAGGGGAGAGAACUGUUGAUGUUUUCACAAGACCAGGUUCUUCGGGAAGGAAAAGAGAACAGUGGUUCAACACUGGCCUAAACUGGGUUGAGCCCUCACUGUGGCUCAUGAACUGUUUUUUGUUGUUGUUUGUUUGUUUGUUGUUGUUGUUGUUGUUGACAGGCAGAGUGGACAGUGAGAGAGAGACAGAGAGAAAGGUCUUCCUUUACCGUUGGUUCACCCUCCAAUGGCCACCGCGGCUGGCGCGCUGCGGCCGGCACAUUGCGCUGAUCCGAAGGCAGGAGCCAGGUGCUUCUCCUGGUCUCCCAUGGGGUGCAGGGCCCAAGCACCUGGGCCAUCCUCCACUGCACUCCCGGACCACAGCAGAGAGCUACACUGGAAGAGGGCCUACCAAGACAGAAUCUGGCACCCCGACCGGGACUAGAACCCGGUGUGCCGGCGCCGCAAGGCGGAGGAUUAGCCUAGUGAGCCGCAACACUGGCUAUGAACUGGUUUUGGAAGUUGGGAGGAGCAUCUGCAUUUCACCCAUUACCAUGUGACCCCAGUCUCCAGGGGAGAAAGCAGUGAACACGUUGGAGGUAAACCUCCGGAAAGCAAUAAGCCACUCGGAGGGAGUUACAUUACAUCACCAAAGGGCGGGUUACUCAACUGAGAAUAUUCUGGGAGUUCUGAUAGCGUAGGCCUGUGCAGGCUCUCCAGGUGGUAUCACUAACCCAUAUGUGGCUACUGAGCAUUUGAAAUGUGGCCAUUCUGCACUGAAAUGAGUUAUGGGUAUAAAAUACAUGCCACAAUAUCAAAGACAGUAUAAAUAAAGAAGGAAAAAUAGCUUAGUGGUAUUUUUCAUUAAUUAUGUGUUGAAAUGAUAAUAUUUUGAAUAUACAAGGAGUCUUCAAAAACUUCACAGAGGGGUUGGUGCUGUGGAAUAGUGGGCUAAGCCUCCACCUGCAGUGCUGGCAUACCAUAUGGGCACUGGUUUGGGUCCUGGCUGCUCCUCUUCUGAACCAGGUCCCUGCUAAUGUGCCUGAGAAAAGCGCUGGAAGACAGCCCAAGUGCUUCGGCUCCUGAUCCCAUAUGGGAGACCUAGAAGAAGCUACUGGCUCUGACUUUGGAUAGGCCCAACUCUGGCCAUUGCAGCCAUCUGGGGAGUGAACCAGCAGAUGGAAGACCUUUCUCUCUGUGUUUCCCUCUCUCUGAACUCUACCACUCAAAUAAAUCAAUAAAUAACUCUUAAAAAAAACUUGAUAGAAAACACAUAUUAUGGAAAACUAUGGGUGGAUUUCCAGUUUUUUCAUCAAAAUAAACUUUUAAUUUCACUUUCUAUAAACUUUUUAAAAAAUUGAUUUAUUUAUUCUUGAAGUGGGGGGAGGAGAAAGAGGGGGAGGGAGGUUGGGACAGGUCAAAGCCUGGAACGUAGAAAUUUAUUUGGAUUUCCCAUGUGGGUGGCAGGGACCAAGUACUUGAGCCACCAUUUGUGGUAGGCAACCUAGAGUUGUGGGGAUAGAGACUCCCAAAUUAUGUUGUGCAGACCAAAAGCCCUGAUUGGACUCAGAAACACCCCCAGCUGGACUUAGUUCAGAUCUUUGACUUCCUGUGUAUAAGAAUGCAACCAGGGGAUGUAGAUAGAGGUGAACAGAAAAGUAAGAUUUUUUUGAAAGGCAAAAGGAUAGUAUAGAGUCAAAAUCAAAAUGGAGUGAAUGUGGCUAAAAGUUAAUUGCAGACCUCUUGCUUCUGUACAUAUUAGCUUUGCUUGCUAAUGGCUAAGGGUGCAUCUUGUAAAACUGUGGGCCCAAAUUCCCAGGAACAAAGUUGACAGAAAUGUGUCCUUCACUGUUAUCUUACAACCAUAUCUUGGAUCUGUUAUUGGGCUUGUUAUUGUUAUCUUGCAAUCAUAUUCUGGUUUUUUUAUUGUUCACUGCAUACCAAGGGUCCAGUUCGAAAUUGUGAGCCCUAGUGAACAGGAACACUAUAAAAACCUGUGUAACCUGCUGUUGGGGGCCGCACUCUGGUAACGAGUGUUGGUCCCGAUCGGUUACCUUGCCUCUCAUUUGCAUCUCAUUUUCAAUAAAAUUCAUGCAUGACUGUCA